rnacentral:lncRNA from 1 species
GAUGUCAGUUAGUGGAGGGCGCGACCCACAGGAAGGAGAACACAGGGUGCGCCGGCCACCUCGGGCCGUUCCCUGCUCUCCAGGGAAGACCCACAUCCCCCUAAGCAUGGUGGGAAGGACAGAGGGCCCCCGAGGGGUACCAGGCUCUGAGGCCGGGUCGGAGCCCAGCCCUGGCUACAAAUCCAGGCAGUGACAGAGCCCUUCCUGUACAGGGUUCUCCGCACGCUGGUCUUGUCUGACCCCCUCCAAAAGGAAAGGACGCCCGGACAAACAUCCUCUCAGCUUUGGUGGCAAAUAAGCAGGCAUGUCUGAGGCUGCAGAAGCGCCAGCGGGCAGGGCGGCCACUGUGGCUCCCCAAGCCAGGCUUUCCCACCACUGCUUUAAGGUGGGAGAGGAGGGGACAGCCCUGCCUCCAACGGUGCAGUGCGUGCAGGGCGCGGGGGCCCAGGAGCUGCACUCUGCACCAAGGGUGGGACAAGCGCACAUGUGUGGCCCCCCAGGCCUCAAGAGGGGGCAGCCAGCAGUGACGCACAAGCUUUUCACCCACCCAGCCCUUCAGUGCAACUCACCCCACCACCAAAACUAAGCCAAGCCACCUCCCCAAAAAUAGGUAUUAACAAGGGGAAGGAUGGCCCAGGCCAAACCAUCAAAGACAAGGCAAAGCAUGAAGAGAGGCAGAGAGACAGAGAGAGGGUGGGAGAGAGACAGAAACGGAGAGGGAGGGUGGGGGAGAGAGAGACAUUGAAUGGUGAGAGAAAAGGGCUGGGAGAGGAGAGGAAGAGGGGGAGGACAGGGAGGAAAGGGUAGGGAGAGGACCAGGAGUGACAGUGGGGAGGAGCAGGAAGGAGGCGGGAAAGGGCACAGGGCCGGGCCCCGAGGGGCGGCAGGGCUGUGCUCCAGUCGUGGCUCCUGAACCCGGCUGCGCACGGCUUUGCGUUUCCCCACAUCAGUGCAUGCGUGUUAUUAACUCAAGAGAAAAAACACACAAACUUACCCUGAGUUUUGGGUUUUUCAGACUAGAAAAAUAGUUUUCAAGCUAAAAAGAAGAAAGAGAACCCUUAUUAGAAGGGAGUCCCAAUCUCCAUUCGGAUUUGUCUGGACACCCAGGUAACAACAGCAACCUGGACGGUGGCUGGGGAGGCUGUUCUGGUAUCUGGGGACAGCAGGCAUGCAGCUGGAGCCCCCCAGUGGCAAACGCGGAUGUGACUAACCCAGCUGUGGCCAGGCGUCACCCUCAAUUCACCAGCACGCGACAGGUGGGCGGGGUUGGUUUAAGCCUUCAGAACAGACACAGGGCCCUGGGAUGUGUCUCUGCUUCUGGAAGAGGGAGGGCUUUCUGCACAGAAGAACCGCGCCCGCCUCAGAGGAGAAGGCGAGAGGCCGCGCCGAGGGCGUCAGUGCCAGGGCAGCUGAAGCAGCAGCACUGCGUGGAGGUGGGGGCCACACAGUAGGCCAAGCCCCCAGAGCCUCAGCCUCAGCUCACCAUGCCUCUCGUCCCAGGGCCCUCGGGGGAGCAGUGGGAGGGCGGGGUGCAUCUGCCUGGGGCUGUCGGUCCCCAGAAGGCACCAGCGCUCCCCAGGCAGGCUCUAGUGGAGGCUCCGAGCACCGGACAGUGAGGGUGCAGACACACCAGCACCACCGUAAGGAAAACCACCGCUACCCCAACAACAGGAACAGAGUGCCCAACCAAAGGACGGGAAAGAGACCAGGGGAAGCCUCCCAGCCCUGGAGGGCUGGCGCUGCCCACAUGCCAGGAGGCUCGCUGUGUCAGAGGACCCUGGGGAACACAGGGAGGGAAGAAGCAUCCCAGACCCCACCCAUGGACCCUGGUGUCUCCCCGCUCAGGACCCUCUCACAUGGAGGAAGCUGGGAACAGGGACGUGGGACUCCUAUUCACAGGGGCCUCUGGAUAUGGCGGCCAGGACCCUUAUGGUCACACAUCACUCUGAUGGCCCCGCCCCACCCCAGGAGCUGAGCGUAG